rnacentral:rRNA from 1 species
GUUGAAAGUGUACCUACAGACGUUUGUUUGUAUAGGUCCCCACUUUUUUUACGUAGUCCAUAGAUCUCAUAAUAUCGGUUGAUUUUGUCCAUAAGAUAGGUUGAGUUUGUAGUCCAUAGGUCUCAUCAGAGGUAGUCCAUCGGUCGAACACUGAUAGCAAGUUGUAAUAGACGAAGUAAUGAGAGUAAAGGAACUUGUUAUAGAGCGCCAAACGUUUUUUUCCGUUUCCACUAAUCAAUAGUAAUGUAUGUUUAUAAACAAGAGACCUUUUGAUCUAAUUUUACAACUCCUACCGUUGAACUAUAAUACAAACAAGACGUUGAUCUUUACGACCACUACUGUUGAUUACUCUAUAAGAACACGCUGAUCUUUACGACUACUACGGUUGAUUACUCUAUAAGAACACGUUGAUCUCUCCGACUCCUACUGUUGAUGAACUUAUUACAACACGUUGAUCUUAACAUCUCCCACGGUUGAUUUAUCUAUGAGAAGACGUUGAUCUUUAGGACUCCCACGGUUCACUAAUCUAUGGCAACCCGUUAGGAGUUUUAAAAAUUCUACCCUAUUUAGACUUAAGAAUACGUUGAUCUCUCCGACUCCUACAGUUGAUGAACCUAUUACAACAGGUUGAUAUUAACGGCUCCCACGGUUGAUUUAUCUAUGAGAAGACGUUGAUCUUUCGGACUCCCACGGUUCAGCAAUGUAUGACAUCCCUUUAGGAGUUAAAAAAAUUCUACCCUGAUUAGACUCAAAAACACGUUGAUCUUUUCUACUCCUACAGUUGAUCAAUAUAUAACAACACGUUGAUCUUAAUGACUCCAACGGUUGAUUAAUCUAUGAUAAGACGUUGAUCUUUCGGACUCCUACGGUUCAACAAUGUAUGAGAACCCUGUUAAGAUUUUUUGAACUUCUACCGUUGCAACUCGUUGACUCUUUCAACUCGUACGGUUACGAAUUAAUCAGGAAGACGUUAGUACAUACUUUUAAGUAUGUGAACCGACGGACAUACACCUCAUUUUUUAUAAGGACUACCUUGAAAUACAAUGGUGUCGCCGACGACGUCUUCUACACCGUAGAUGGGGAAACCUAUGACGGAGGCGCGCGUGGAAAGAAGAGACGUCAAAAUGAUUCUCCUUAGAAAGCGGUGGCACUUCAAAACUGAUCGUCUAAGACACGUUGAU